AUUUUUACAGCAUAAAAGCAAAAUAAAUUCAUAUAUAUUGUAAUACAAUAAGGCAGAGUAUUUAAUUUAAUUUAUAGUAACAAGUGGGCCCACGAAUGACCAAAAGUAUUAAAAACAGUAAACCUACAGUUUUUGAGGAUGCAAGUCUAACUGUAGCCCUCAACAAAGUGAGCUAUCUACCGACUAUCCUGAGCCUGAAAGGGGUGAAAAGGAGGGUGGUGAGAUUAUAUAAUCCCAGUGAGUAAACAAAUACCAUCUAAAAUAUCUAAAGUUGAGUAAAUAGAGACAGAUAAAAUAGUUUAACAUACUGUAAUUCAUCACUUUUCAACUUGUUUCAACCAAAUAAAAUCAAUUCAUAUAAAUCGAGUAAUCAACAUGGCUUAUGAAUUUCUUAAAACUUUGGCUCAUGCCAAAAUCAUUCUCAUACCCAAUUAUCAGAGAUGCCUUGAUCGAGGGUUAUCCCAACCGAGUCCACCAAGGCUGUUAAAAAGUUAUGUACGCAUAAAUCAUGUUUUUAUUUUGAAAACAUAACCAUUCCUUGGUGUUGGCAUGAAGUGAACUCUAAAGUGUUAACCUCGGGAGUUAUCCAUCUGCGCCUCUCAUACUGAGGUAUGAAUAUGAUCAGGUUCCGUGCCCCUCUAAUAGGUUGGUCCACAAAACCGGCCCACUACAACAAGCUAAACCUACCACAUAAUAAAAGUUCAACAGCAUGACAUGACAAUUUUAUCAUUAUCCAGCCUAUCAAGGCAAACAACAGUUUAUACAUUUCAACACAAAUACCAAUUCAGCCAUUCAUGCCAAUAUUGUCAUAAGCCAAUCAAUUAGAAUCAUUAAUUUACAACACACAAAAAUAGUCUCCAAUUACUCUAUUUUUCAAAAUCAUUAUUAAUUUCAAAACAAUUUAUAAAUUAAUUUCAUUGAAACACAUUUAUUCAUAAAACAUGAAAUUUUACCUUUUUAAACUCAUUUUCCAUAAAAUCACAAAAUCAGAUAAAAACCACUUUAGAUAAUUAAGAUGAUAGUAAGGUUACUCACUAUUUUGGGAGUCGAAUUCCAAGUACUCCGAUUCUUAAUCCUUGGGUACUAUCUCUUUACUUUUGCCAGAAUGCUCACCACCUAGACAUAAUGCACAAUAAGCCAUUUACUACAUUUGUGCUAAAUUGUUAUAAAACCAAUUCAGGCUCUAUACUGAUGCAUGAAAUGGGAUGUGAAAUACUCAGGUAACUAUCUAAAUACGGUGUUCAAUAUAAAUUCAGUUAUAUACCUAAAUAAAACGGUAUUGGCCUAAUUCGAUCUAUCUCUCGAUUAAUUGGCCAAUAUGUCCAAUUUAACUCCAAAUAAUUCCAUUUUUCUCCCAAUACUCCAAAUCAUCAAACACAAGUCAAAUAGCACAAAAUCUAGCAAAAUCAUCUUCACAUUUUCUCUUGGAAAAUUCAACCAUGGUGGGUGCAUCAAUACUAUGAUUUUUCCUACUUGAUUCUUACACCAUAAAUCAUCAUUUCCUAACCAAUUCACUUAAAAUAAAUUGAAAAUCAUCAUCCACACUCUACAUGGAAAUUCGGCCAAUGAUGGGUGAUGGGAGAAAAUAAAUUUUUCUUGCUUAAUUUUCAUGCUACACAUCACUAACUAACUAAAAACACUAAAAUAUCUUAAAAUCUAACCAAAUCAAUCAUCAAAUAUUCUCUCUCUAAAUUCGGUCAGCCAUGAAUCCUUCAUGAUAUCUUGUGAUUCAACCAUGGAAAAUGAAAAAUAAUGCAUGGGAAAGGUAGAUCACAAGUCAAAAUCAAGAAAUUUUACCUUUGAUUGCUUGAUUACUUGGAAUCCACCAAUUUUUCUCUUGAGUUUUCAUCCUAGGGUUCUUGUUCUUUCUUUUCUUCCUUUGUUCUUCUUUAGUCGGCCAUAUGAAUGAGAAAUGGGCUGAUUUUAUGCUGAUUUUUAAGCCAAAAAAUAAAAGGAUAUAAAUUUGACACAUGUCACCAUUCCAUUAGUCCAUGUGUCAUACUAAGCCAUUAAGC
rnacentral:lncRNA from 1 species